AGAGCAAAUCAGGUGAUCGCUCUGCCUUUUUCCGGCCCUGUGUCGGGAAAAGGGGAGAGGAAAGUCCGAACUCCGUAGAGCAGGAUGCCCGGAGAGAAUCCGGGGCUUGCGGUGCCCAAGCGCCGCAGGACGGAAAGUGUCACAGAAACCAUACCGCCCUGCACUCAAUGGUAUGGAUUUUUUUAUGCACAAAUUUUCCCCUGCUGAAUAAUUUCCAGAUUUCAUCAUCAUGCAAUAUUGCCAUUGGGUGUGGGGUAAGGGUGAAAAGGCGGGGUAAGAGCCCACCAGCCGGCUUCCGAGAGGAAGGGCGACUGCCUCAGCAAUGACCGGGCUGGACAAACCCCAUCCGGAGCAAGGCCAAAUAGGGGAGGACCUUCCUCAGGGAAGGACGGAGUGGCUCGCUCCGUUUCCCGCCUCACCGGCGGGAUGGACUCCCGGGUAGGCCGCUGAGAUAAAUGAUCACCCUCCCGCCGUGGCGGGAUACAGAAUUCGGCUUAUCGAUUUGCUUUAAAU
rnacentral:RNase_P_RNA from 1 species